rfam:Volvox carteri f. nagariensis unplaced genomic scaffold VOLCAscaffold_3, whole genome shotgun sequence.
CAGCAUAUGAUGAAUUUAACCGAAAUCCAUCGCUGAGGUCCUCUGUGAGGAACCAAAAAACGAGCUUUUUAAUCCUGAUGCUAU